UUGAAUUAUAUUCUCAGGUGGUGAUUUCCCAAUUGCCGCACAAGCUAAAGCCAGACUGGUUUGAUUCCUGUUAUCUGAAUGCAAUGAACAAACAACGAGGUGGUUCGAUCCUAUGAUCCCUAAUUUGGUGGUGGUAGCAAUGUUGGGUGACCAUAAAUUGCCUCCUCCUGCGUGCUACUAUAAUCAGAAGGCACCAGGUAAGGUGUGGGAGCUGGCACAAUUGCAAACAAAAACUAUUUUUGUUCAACCGUUUCUCCA
rnacentral:lncRNA from 1 species